AAGACUAUACUUUCAGGGAUCAUUUCUAUAGUUUCUAACUAGAGAAGUGCAUUCGAAAGUGAUCGGUAACGCCAACCACGAGGAGGAGAUAAAGUGUUCUCUUCUGAGCGUGAAACAAGCGGUCAGUGCUGCGUUAUUGCGGCUGCUUACCUGCUCUUGAUGAUCGUUCUGCCUUCUUCUUGAAGGUCGGAGGGAGAGAACACAAUCUGAGUGGU